GCAAGAGGAUUGCUUGAACCCAGGAGUUUGAGGCUGGAGUGAGCCAUGAGCAUGCCACUGCACUCCAGCCUGGGCAACAGAGCAAGACCUAAGGGUCCCACCACAGGAGAGUCAUUCAGUCAGCUAGAGUAUAGCCAUCUGCACAACAGAAUAGUAGGUAGCCAUUUUAAAAGGUUUUACAAAUAAUUUAUUUCAAUGUGUCAAGGUAGGUAUGAUACAAUGCUAUGUGAAAAAACACCAAAAUACAACUUGAUUACAUGUGAUUACAACUCUAGUCUCAAAAAGCCAACCCAUGCAUAGAGUAAGAGACUCGAAGGAAAUUCAGCAAUAUGCUAACAGUGGUUGUUUUGGGGGCUGGAAAAUGUUUUCUUGCUUUUUUUUUUUUUUGUAUUUUCUAAACUUUCAAAAGGUUCAUAUACUUCUUUCAUGAUAGGAAAAAAUCAUUCUCUGAAUCACAUCAAGCAGCCUGGUGAAGGCCAGGGAGACCCAUGUGGGCAGAGCCAGGAGUGGCCACUGUCCUGUGCCGAGCUUCGUCACCCAGUGCAGCUGCGUGAAGCUGUUUGCCAGCAAGAAAAUGAGGACUUCAGUACUGUAACCACAAGGAACUGAGUUCUGCCUGCAACCCAAGUGAGCACAAAGCAGGAUGUCUCCCAGAGCCCCCAGGAAUGAAGCUCCACUUGCUGAUACCUGAAUUUUACUCUGGCCUGUUCCUACAUCUAACAGGAGCGAGUCGGACUUGCCGAUGAUUUCUGGAGCCCUGCCUGCCUCUGAGAUUUCAGGCUACCUCAGUUUCCCCACCUCCUAGUCUAACGGGCAUUCAUCAGGCACAGGACAGAGCCCUGAGGAGACAGCAGCCCCCAGGAGGCUGGUUCCUGAUCUGCUGCCUGCUGCCUGCUGCCUGGGAGGCCCCAUCAGAAAACUGGGGCUGGCAGCAUGUUAGACUCUCCUGCGCCUGCCUCUGCCUGUUUUCACGAGGCACCCUGCAGGCUUGGCCAGGACUGCUGAGGAGUGGGGACGUCUGGGGAGGCGAGCUCAGCCGAACUGCCGUGCAGGCUGGGGCCUGGUGCUGCUGGAGUCAGCCUUCAUCAGGGUCCCUGGCUCUGGCCUCCUCUUCUCUAGGGCAAAAUCCCAACGCUGUAAUGGCCAGGAUCUGCCCCUCCCCACAUCCUGCUCUUGAUGGGAAACAUGCCCAUCAUUGGGUGUCCCAACCAGGCAGCACCCCUUUCAUUCUCUUUGUCUUUCCAUGCACUAUUUGACUUGCCUGGGGUGCAUCUCCCUCGCCCCCUACAAAAUUCCCCUCCCCUGGAAAGCUCCCUGGUGACUCCCUGACUCUCCCCUCUGGAUGGACAAGGUUAGAUGCUUCUCCCAAGCUCCCAUACAUGCCCUCUCGUCUUCCCCUACAUGUAUCCACCUC
rnacentral:lncRNA from 1 species